rnacentral:rRNA from 1 species
GACGAACGCUGGCGGCGUGCUUAACACAUGCAAGUCGAACGGAAAGGCCCCUUCGGGGGUACUCGAGUGGCGAACGGGUGAGUAACACGUGAGUAACCUGCCCUUGACUUCGGGAUAACUUCAGGAAACUGGGGCUAAUACCGGAUAGGAAUCCUUGCUGCAUGGUGGGGGUUGGAAAGCUUCGGCGGUUUUGGAUGGACUCGCGGCUUAUCAGCUUGUUGGUGGGGUAGUGGCUUACCAAGGCUUUGACGGGUAGCCGGCCUGAGAGGGCGACCGGCCACAGUGGGACUGAGAUACGGCCCAGACUCCUACGGGAGGCAGCAGUGGGGAAUAUUGCACAAUGGGCGGAAGCCUGAUGCAGCAACGCCGCGUGCGGGAUGACGGCCUUCGGGUUGUAAACCGCUUUCAGCAGGGGCGAAGCUUGUGGUGACGGUACCUGCAGAAGAAGCACCGGCUAACUACGUG